AUCUAUAGAUAUCAUAUGUGUAUGUAAUAAACAUGUGUAUUCCAAUCCAAAUAAUCUGGAUUUAAGAACUAGAAGGUUAUUGCAACUAAAAAAAUAGCAUCAGGUAAUUCUGGUGGUUUUUCUUUUUAAUAGAAUUUAAGCCAAAUUUAUAUUUAUAUUAAAGUGGAAAGAAUCAUGUGACUGUAAUAUUACAACUGUCCAGAAUUACUGAGAAAAACCUGAAGAAUGAACUCACCGGCCAUUUGAAGCUAUUGAACAAGGUGUUCUCACUUGAUUUGCUUUUUUUCAAAGACCUUGUUGGAAACUCUCACUGCACAGAAAGGCAAGUAAUUAUCAUGCUGUGAGUGUUUUAGAGCCCCAGCCUUGAUUGCCUUCAAAGUAAGUCUGGUUAUCAAAGAUGGCACAGGUUGGGGACCAGAGGACUUUGGAGAUUUAGAGGACGAUGUGGGUGGAUUUUGGAUGUAGGCCUUGUAACCCUUGGUCUGAGGGUUGUUUGGCAUCUGACUUUAAUUUGAAGAGAUUGUUAGCACCUGAGGACAGAGCUGACCACUUUGUGACCUGAUAGAUUACCAUUAACCACUCUGAGAUAGGCUGGAUGUGGGCGUGGCUUAUUCCCAGCCAGGCAUUCACCUGAAGCAUUUGAUGUUUAGGUAGACUCCGGAAAUGAAGACUUGAAAACAUCGUCCAUGUGGUUUUCUUGCGUACUCUCAAACCCUGCCAGAGUCAUUUAUAAUGGAGCGAGCAAACACGUACUGCCAUCCUGUGAGACCAGACGUCCCGAUGAAUGAGUAUUCCACCGUUGUACAGAAAGAAACAGGAAAUGACUCUCGAGGAGUCUCAACGUUUUAAUUAUGUCAUUGUCCUCCGCUGGCUCUCUCCCAACGCUGACAGUUCACACAGUUGGUCCCAGCUUCUAUCCUCAUGAUCUAAGAUGGUGCCUGAAGUACCAGACACAUUAUCUGAGUCCUAGAUAAGAAGAAAGAAGAAUUGGGAGCAGAUCAAAUGGAAUGCUUUCCACACCCAAUAUGCCUUCAACUCAACUUCCUUUAACUCCUAUCCGAUGGAAACCCAGCUGUACAAUGAAAACUCCUGCCCAGAAUGAUGGAAGACAGUAUGUGACCCAAGUGCCUGAUUAUUCCUUAGAGCUGGAAUAAAUGCUAACAUGAUCUAGAAUUAUUUCCUACAUGCUGGCCUGAACUGAAAAUGUGUACUUCUAAAAGAUUUGAUUUCGGCAGAAAAUUUAGUUGAGCUGAAUCCUCUGUGACCUGAAUACUCCAGUGAGCAGUGUGUACCUUCAAUAAUGUAACCAGAGACAAUAAUGAUUGAGGAAAUACCUAAGAUGUAAUUAUAAUAGUUACUAUUUUGUUCUAGCAUUUGCUUUAUGACACGUCCUUUAUCUUAACAGUGCUACUAGGUAGGUAGUGUUAUCUCCCUUUUUCUGAUAAGAAAAUAGAAGCUUACAGAAGUUAAAUAAGUUCCCAAGAUCAGAAGGCAAUGACACAGAUCUGGGAGACUCCAGAGGCCCUGUUUCUUCUACAAUGGGAGGCCAACUUCCAGCCCAGGCCCAGCUGGGUUCACCUUUUCCUGGGGAGAGAGGGCUUCGGCAGAGAGCAGCUGUGAGGCCAGGAUGACUUUCCAGAGAAGAGUGUGGUGUCAGAGGCCAUCACACAGCCUGCAGAUUCUCUUCCCAGACCACCCUGCUAAGCAGUCUGUGAGCUUUGAAGUUAUCAUUUUAUUUAUGGAAUGAUGGGGUUGUGGAUCAAGAGGAAAAAACAUAAAGACUAGUUUCAUUGAGCAUUUAUUAAAAAAAAUAAUACACACAUGCCUUUAUAAGGAAUGGAAUGGAAGCCUUGUCUCCCAACUGCAACGACAGGAUGAAUUCCUCGGGAAUUAAUGGGAACAUCUUGUCGUCCCAGAGACCCUACCUCCCACCUUGCUAGGACUGAGCCCUUGGCCUUAUCCAAGGAAUACACAUAAAUCAUGGUGAAUGGGAAGGCUGGGUACAGGACUGUCCAGCCAGCGGGGUGAGAGCACCUACAAAGAACACAAGUGGAAAGGAGCUAAAAUCAAGCCAGGGGGAUGGGGACUCAAGACCUGGCCCACUCAGCACGCUGCCUUCAUCCUGUUCUCACCAGCCCUUGAUUUUGAUUUUUUUAAAUAAUUUAUCAAAUUUGGCCCCUUCUGGCCCUCUUGCUUCUUCCUUGAAAAAACAAAAACAAAAACAAAAACAAAAACCCCACACGCAUUUGGAGGGACUUUGCAAUAUCACCAGAAUGAUGCUGUGCCAAGUUGAGCCUAGAGCCCCUCCUUGCCUGGCUCUCUCAUCUGACUGCAUCCCACCCCUGUGGUGUUCCAGCCAGGACGAUACAACCAUGAAACCCCUUAUGUCAGUUUCUUCCAGCUCUGUCAUCAUUUUGGGGGGAUCCAGACUGAAUCCUCCGGGCCCCAGAAAGUGAAGGCAGAACCGUUCCUUGGCCAGGAUGGGGCCAAGGCUCAGUGUGGGAGCACAGAAGGAGCACACGCUGACCUCCCAGCUUCGUGUCUCAUUGGCCUUUGGAGUCUCUGCUGAGGCCCAGAGCAGAGCUGCUUCCCUCGGCGUGCAGAACAAAGGCUCAGGAAAUGCUGUGGAAUCCAGGUUUGCUCUUCAGGUGUAAGAGGCACCUCCUUGUGGUGAAAGCCCCCUCAUCUCCCACUGGGAGGAAGUGUGAGUGUCUGGAAGACAUUUUGCUAGGAUGAUGUGGACAUUAUAGACAUGUAAACAGCAAGAUAGACUUUACUAGGAAGCAGAAAGGGGAGAGAUUUUGAGUGCUGAAGCAAAUUCUAACCCUUACAAAGAGAAAAUUAAGGGUGAAUAGCCCGGAAGUGUAAUGAAGCUCUCACAUUUUUACCUGAUUCCAUCGGUGUCUUCUACAGCAGGUGAUGAUGUUGCCCAACAGUGAGCUGCUUUCCCAAGAGCUGCAUUUCUGUACUCCCCACUCCACCCCGACCUUGGUCUGCUUCCAGCCUCAACCCUCCAAGGCCCCUGCACUUGACAUCUGGGCAGUCUGCCUACUGCAUGGAUGGGGACCCUCCCUUUGGACUCCUUCCCAUGAUCUGUGCCUCCCCCUACCCAUUCCUUUCCACACUAUCUGUUCUCAGUGCACAUCUGACCUCUUAACAUGAGGAUGCUCAUGGUACCUUCUAGAAGGAGGCUUCUCUCAUGGAGUGCAUGGGCCCUAGGAUCCCAGGAAAGGAGCAGCUCCAGUUUCCCUAGUGGUGAGCAUGUGCCGUCAAAGUAUAUGGUUAUGGUAGCACAUCACCAGCGAAGGAAAGAAGCUGUAGAUGGAAAUGGGGUUCAGCAGAGGAUCAGAAUCACAGAUGGCAGAGAAAAGAAUGAGGCCGUAUGGGAACCUGCAGAUGGGAGUAAGCAUGGGUGGCACAGUGGGGAAAGGAGAUGGGCCAGUCUCCAUUAGUAUUAUGGUCUUAAGAAAUCCAAAUGUCCCCAGAUCCCCGGAUCAUGGAGAUAAUGCAUGGGCAAUGCCGACAGUGCUAUUUGGUUGGACCCCCACCCUCUCACCUUUGUGUCCUCCCCUUUUUCCCUAGAAGGUCUAGACAGCCUGCUCGAUUCUUGGUGUUGACCGUUUAGUCAAAGCUAUUAUCAGCUUCACUGCUGCCAUGUCCUCUGUCAUGGUUGUCUUGGGUUUGUCCCUCCAGUGACCACAAGGCCUUUUGAUAUCUUGGAAUUGAAUCUGACUCUUUCAGUUUACACCAUCAUCCACUGAGGAACUUUGAAAGGCCUCCCUGGCUCAGGCCAGAUGUCAUUUGUGACCCCAGUGUGUGUGAUAUUGAGAAGUGUCCAUCGGCAGAGGUCCCCACAUAGGACCUGCCUUUAGAUGCCUUCCUCCUGGGUGGUCCCCAAUCAUCAGUUCAUCUUUCUUACCUCCCCGCCGCUCUUCCAGAAAAUCAAGGCAGCAUUUGCUCAGGAGUGUUAACCCCAGUCUACCAGGCAUCUACUGUCAAGACCAAGUCCAUUUGUGGUUUUUUUUUCUGGGAGGCUUAGGGCUUCCUCACACAGCUAGAGGACUGCUGGUAGCUUGUCGCAUUUCACAGUUUCCAAAUUAGGCAUAUAAAGUAGCAAAAUCAUUCUUUAUGGUUAAACCUGUAGAGACCAGGCCAGACUUGUGUUUUUAAGCAAAAACACAAAAACAUUCAAUGAGAUCUUAUUAGGCCCUGAGUUAUUUUUGCGUUUGAGUGCUGGGAAUCCUUUUGAGUAAUACAAGGCAGAAUCCCUUUGGGCACAUUGGACCACCCCCAGAGAUACAAAGCGGAUUGCAGAGGCAUUCCAAAGAGAGGCUGGGAAAAACCUGACAGGAAGUAUUCCCAGAACACUCUACUCCCCAAGUCCCUGUUGGCUAAUGACUAGGGCAUAACUGUAAACACAGCAGAAGAGCUUCAAAGAAGAGCGAUUUGGACAUGUGAACAUCAGCUACUCGGCAAACAGAAAAAAUGCCCCCCUGGCUUUUGCCAACUCAUAGCACCCUGUACGCUAGGGCACUCUGACUUUAAUCAAGCAAACAUGCAUGUCUGCUGCCCACGGCCAUGUCUAAACCCCACCUCUGCACUUCCCCAGUGGGCUCCAUGUUUCAGCCAGAUUAUCCUGGCGUUGGGAAGAAGAGUGAUGGCUGAGACUCGAGGAAAGGGAAAGAGGAGGCCAAGAUGGUCAGGUUACUGGAUCUCAUUUGAUGUCCACACAAGGUGGGUUUCUGGUGCUCAUGGUCUUGAUGCACAUGACCUUGCUGAUGUCCCAGUUAAUCCUGCUCAGCACAACCUGGCCUCACAGAGCAAGACAAAUGUGCACUUGGGAAUUAGAUACGCCAAGAGCCCAAACGCCACUCUAUCACUCAGUAGACUUGAAAGCUUACCAGACCUGUUUUCUCAUCUGCACAACGGGACUGAUAAUUCCUGAUCCAUGGACAGGCCUCAUUUUGAAAUUAUAAAUAAAUAUAUUUUUGUGCUUGGCAUAUAGGAGAUAAAUAUUGCUAUUGUUAUUACUCUCUUAGUACUUCCACACAUAUUAUAAAGUAGUGACUGGUCAGUGAGUGCUUACCAUAUGCUGAAGAUUGGAUUAAAUAUUAUUAAUACACCUAUUUUGUGAUCACCCUUGUAUUAUAAAACUUGUUUUUUCAAGUCAUGACUCUUUUUUUUUUAAAUUAAAGAUUUUAUUUAUUUAUUUGACAGAGAGAGAUCACAAGUAGGCAGAGGCAGGCAGAGAGAGAGAGAGGAAGAAGCAGGCUCCCCGCCGAGCAGAGAGCCUGAUGCGGGACUCGAUCCCAGGACCCUGAGAUCAUGACCUGAGCCGAAGACAGUGGCUUAACCCACUGAGCCACCCA